UACGUAGGGUGCAAGCGUUUGUCCGGAAUUAUUGGGCGUAAAGAGCUCGUAGGCGGUCUGUCGCGUCGGCUGUGAAAUCCCGAGGCUCAACCUCGGGUCUGCAGUCGAUACGGGCAAACUGGAGUGUUGCAGGGGAGACUGGAAUUCCUGGUGUAGCGGUGAAAUGCGCAGAUAUCAGGAGGAACACCGGUGGCGAAGGCGGGUCUCUGGGCAGUGGCUGACACUGAGGCGCGACAGCGUGGGGAGCAAACAGG
rnacentral:rRNA from 1 species